GACAGAGGGUGCAAACGUUGCUCGGAAUCACUGGGCGUAAAGGGCUCGUAGGCGGUCCGUCACGUCGGGAGUGAAAACUCAGGGCUCAACCCUGAGCGUGCUUCCGAUACGGGCGGACUAGAGGUAUGCAGGGGAGAACGGAAUUCCUGGUGUAGCGGUGGAAUGCGCAGAUAUCAGGAGGAACACCGGUGGCGAAGGCGGUUCUCUGGGCAUUACCUGACGCUGAGGAGCGAAAGCAUGGGGAGCGAACAGG
rnacentral:rRNA from 1 species